AUUAAACAUGGCCUCGGAUUGUUGUGGAAAACGUGAUCACUUUGAUUGAUUGCUAAACUCAGUCUCAAGACAACGACAACAUCGAAUAAACAAGGUACAGGGCGGCCAAAUAAAGUCAGAGAAAAAAAGUCCAUCUGACAGCAAGACACAGAAGUACCUUUGUAUGUGAGAAUGUCAACAGUUACUCAGGGUGAAUACAGACGAGCCCCGAGCAGGAAAGCGCAAGGACAGUGUGAACGCAAUGGAGGAAGUCGAGAAUACCCAACUUGUGGGACUGACCGGAACGCUGGGGACCGCUCUGUGUCACUGGAAAUGUCGUCUUCUGAUUCCUCCCAGGAAGAGGAG